UGAAUGAUGGCAAUUCCCGAAGGAUC
rnacentral:piRNA from 1 species